rnacentral:rRNA from 1 species
UGCAGAGGUCUCAAGCGUUGUUCGGAUUCAUUGGGCGUAAAGGGUGCGUAGGCGGCGCGGUAAGUCGGGUGUGAAAUUUCGAGGCCUAACUCCGAAACUGCAUUCGAUACUGCCGUGCUUGAGGACUGGAGAGGAGACUGGAAUUUACGGUGUAGCGGUGAAAUGCGUAGAUAUCGUAAGGAAGACCAGUGGCGAAGGCGGGUCUCUGGACAGUUCCUGACGCUGAGGCACGAAGGUCAGGGGAGCAAACGGG